UACCUGGAACUUCGAUUUAAUAAACAAGUUCGUCUUGUUGGAACAGUUCUCUUUAUUGUUCAGAUGAUACUGUACAUUGGAAUUGUUAUUUAUGCUCCUGCUCUUGCUUUGAAUCAAGUCACAGGUUUUGAACUCUGGGGUGCAGUAGUUACAACAGGGAUUGUCUG